UGGGGAAUAUUGGACAAUGGGCGCAAGCCUGAUCCAGCCAUGCCGCGUGUGUGAAGAAGGCCUUUCGGUUGUAAAGCACUUUAAGCGAGGAGGAGGCUACUUGGAUUAAUACUCUAGGAUAGUGGACGUUACUCGCAGAAUAAGCACCGGCUAACUCUGUGCCAGCAGCCGCGGUAAUACAGAGGGUGCGAGCGUUAAUCGGAUUUACUGGGCGUAAAGCGUGCGUAGGCGGCUUCUUAAGUCGGAUGUGAAAUCCCUGAGCUUAACUUAGGAAUUGCAUUCGAUACUGGGAAGCUAGAGUAUGGGAGAGGAUGGUAGAAUUCCAGGUGUAGCGGUGAAAUGCGUAGAGAUCUGGAGGAAUACCGAUGGCGAAGGCAGCCAUCUGGCCUAAUACUGACGCUGAGGUACGAAAGCAUGGGGAGCAAACAGG
rnacentral:rRNA from 1 species